AUUGAACGCUGGCGGCAUGCCUUACACAUGCAAGUCGAACGGCAGCACGGGAGCAAUCCUGGUGGCGAGUGGCGAACGGGUGAGUAAUAUAUCGGAACGUGCCCAGUCGUGGGGAUAACGUAGCGAAAGCUACGCUAAUACCGCAUACGAUCUAUGGAUGAAAGCGGGGGAUCGCAAGACCUCGCGCGAUUGGAGCGGCCGAUAUCAGAUUAGGUAGUUGGUGAGGUAAAGGCUCACCAAGCCGACGAUCUGUAGCUGGUCUGAGAGGACGACCAGCCACACUGGGACUGAGACACGGCCCAGACUCCUACGGGAGGCAGCAGUGGGGAAUUUUGGACAAUGGGCGCAAGCCUGAUCCAGCCAUGCCGCGUGCAGGAUGACGGUCCUAUGGAUUGUAAACUGCUUUUAUACAGGAAGAAACACUCCGACGUGUCGGAGCUUGACGGUACUGUAAGAAUAAGGAUCGGCUAACUCCG
rnacentral:rRNA from 1 species